rnacentral:lncRNA from 1 species
UCUCUAUACAAUUUGUAUCUUUUGUGGUCUCUCACAAGAGUUAUCGCGUCAUCUUUUUUGUAACUUACAAUUUCUCACUUCAAAUGGUUUAGAUGGGAGCUACCUAUAUGCCACAUAAAUUGUUAUAUUUUUUGCUCUUUUGGUAGUGAUUUCCAACUUAGAAAUCGUUUGACUUUGAUUUGACAUCAUGUGGUGUGGUUGAUCUAUGAGCCGUGGAAUGAAUUCAUAUUCUCAAAUAAAUGGGUGGAUGUUGAAACAAUUGGUGGAUAAUAUUAAGUUCUCUUAUUAGAAAUGAUUUUUUAUGUAAAUUUUUUGAAUCUAUUUUUACUUUCUAUGAAUGGCAGUGGAAAUUUUCUCUUUGAUUAGAUAGUCUUUUGGUG